CAGCCGCCGCGGUAAUACGUAGGGUGCAAGCGUUAAUCGGAAUUACUGGGCGUAAAGCGUGCGCAGGCGGUUAUAUAAGACAGAUGUGAAAUCCCCGGGCUCAACCUGGGAACUGCAUUUGUGACUGUAUAGCUAGAGUACGGCAGAGGGGGAUGGAAUUCCGCGUGUAGCAGUGAAAUGCGUAGAUAUGCGGAGGAACACCGAUGGCGAAGGCAAUCCCCUGGGCCUGUACUGACGCUCAUGCACGAAAGCGUGGGGAGCAAACAGGAUUAGAUACCCGAGUAGUCCCUGUCUCUUAUAC
rnacentral:rRNA from 1 species